GGGAAAAAAUAGAAAAAAAGAAAGGGUUUGGGCAAGAACUUAACUGUGAGUUGCGGCGUCCCACGAGAGUGACCAUAUUCAGGUAAGAACCUCAAAUUUGAACUCUUUAAUCCCAUAAUAAAUUGUAUAUUCAUGAAUUAAUGAAUGUGUUGUCACUUGGAGGGGAAGGAGUAUUAUAUUGGUUUUUAGAAUGCAUUAUUCUUUCAAUUAAUGUUGUUGUACGUGGAUUUGGGAAUUUGGGGUACAAGUUUUAGUGGGGUAUUCAUGUGAGGUAGGUCAGGAGGUAAGGAAUUGGAUGUUGGGCAACAUGUUACAGUGGGGGAAGAGAAAGUAUUGUCCUCGAUUGUUAAUUAAUGAGGUGCUAAUGAUUACUAUUUCAGAGAAGGCAUAAUUUCUGUAUAUUUCUAACCAUAAAUUGACACCACCGACAUUUUUAUGUGGCUCCGUUGUUUGAGAUUUUCUUUAGUUAUCAUAUUAUGACUCACGUUUUAAUAUCUUGAGUAGGUAGUUAAAUAUUAGAAGUAUGGUAUUACGUGAAUACCAUUCGAAUUAUGAUAUUGGGAAAAUUGGGACUUAACCCUAGACUUGAAACUUGGAAAAUAUGAUAGUUGAAAUGUUGAUUGACAUCAAGAUUUACGAACUGGAUUAUAAAUUUGGGUGAAUUGUUGGUUCAAGGCUAAACACAUAGUAAUGUGGGUGUUGUUAAUUUCAAAAUCUUAUGGUAGGAAUUUGUUUGGAUAGAUUGUAUUGAUUUGGUGCCCAGUGUAAGGGGAAGACUCAAGUCCCGGAGUGAUUGUUCGACUAUUUGAGGCAAGUGAAUUUCUAAACCCUUGUUAAGUGUAUGGAAUUCGUGUAUUUCCUUGUAACAUGUGUUUGGAGGUAAUGAGACUUGGUGAUGGGUUGACUUGUCCACAUUGAUUAAUUCUAAUAAUGGAAAAGGGGUAAUAAAAGGCAAUGUGAUUAAUUAUUUGUGUGUGAUGUGUUGAGAAUUGUUUGUGACGGGCAUUGGUACGAAUAUCGGUGUUAUAAAGGGAAAGUUUAUUACUAUAGAAUACAGAUUGUAAUCCGAGAAUGUCAAAGCAUAUGGGCAUUAGCUGAUAUAUUAUUGACUUGAUUUAUUAUGUGUGAUUGUGUUCUUUAUUAAACCCGUAUACUGGUGAUAGCUGAGGUAAUUGCAUAUCAUAUUGAUAUUUGAUUAAGAUACAUCAUUCCUUUUAUUGAAAUCAUAUUGUGCACAUGUAUUGACAUGAGAUUGAGUAUAAGUUGGGCACGUGGAGAUCGUCCGUGCUAGGGAUGGUAAGAUGUUAAAAUUAUAAUUUGGCACGUGGAGAUCGUUCGUGUGAAAUUUGUUUGAUUCAUGAUAGUGCGUUGAGACCGUCCGCACAAACACGUAAAGAUCGUCUGUGUCGGUAUAUGGACCUCGCGAGUCCCCCAUGCGUCAUGAACUCUCGAUGUAUUUCCGAGGAGUAUCAUGUAUAUACGGUUGAGAGAGUACUUGGUAUUCUGAGGCAUAUCAUUUCAUGGUGUCAUAUUGCAUUGCAUCCCAUGACGUCCUUCAUUCUUGAUGAUUAUAUAUUUUAUUGAUGGUUGGAAAGUACCUGAUGUUUGAUUACCUCUAUUUGAUGAAUUUGAUCUUAUGUGUUGUUGAUAUUUGUGAGUGCCUUUUUGUGAAAGUUGUGAUUGAUGAAUAUUGAGUUUGUUGUUGAGGAUAUGUAAUUUGUUAAAGUGAUUGUUGUUGAGCUGAGUGUUAUGUAAAUUGUGAACUGUUAGGUUGGACUGGUUUUAUGCAGGUUGUAGUUGUAGAGGUUCGGUUGGGGUGUAAUGAGUACCCGUAUUCUAUUCCCUUAGCUUGUGUUUAGAGAUGUACUUGCUGAGUAUCGUGUGGUUUGGUACUCACCCCUUGCUUCUACAAUUUUUUGUAGGUUACGAGCCUGGAUUUUGUGAUACUUUCCAUUCUCCUAUUUUCCGAGGCUUUUUGGAGAUUUGUGAAGUAGUUGUUUAUCAUCUCAGUGGACCUUCUUACUCCUUAUUUAUGAUAUUGUUCUAUUUUAGAGACAACAUCAUUUGAGACUUACGUUUUCUUUCAAAUCUAUUGUAAUACUUUAGAGGCUUGUACACGUGACAACCAGAUUUUUGGGGUAUUUUUGAGUUAAUUAUGAAAUUUCUGUAUUUUAAUGUAAUGGG
rnacentral:lncRNA from 1 species